UGGGGAAUUUUGCGCAAUGGGGGAAACCCUGACGCAGCAACGCCGCGUGAGUGAUGAAGGCCUUCGGGUCGUAAAGCUCUGUCAGAGGGGAAGAAGUGCAUGGGCGCUAAUAUCGCUUAUGCUUGACGGUACCCUCAAAGGAAGCACCGGCUAACUCCGUGCCAGCAGCCGCGGUAAUACGGAGGGUGCGAGCGUUGUUCGGAAUUAUUGGGCGUAAAGCGCGUGUAGGCGGUUUUUUAAGUCUGAUGUGAAAGCCCUGGGCUCAACCCGGGAAGUGCAUUGGAAACUGGGAGACUUGAAUACGGGAGAGGGCAGUGGAAUUCCUGGUGUAGGAGUGAAAUCCGUAGAUAUCAGGAGGAACACCGGUGGCGAAGGCGGCUGCCUGGACCGAUAUUGACGCUGAGACGCGAAAGCGUGGGGAGCAAACAGG
rnacentral:rRNA from 1 species